rnacentral:rRNA from 1 species
AUGGCAUCAGUUGUUACCAUGACUUCAGUUAGUGCUCAGUCCUCUUUGGUUUCAAGGCCAAGGAGCCAUGGCAUAACAAGCUAUGGUGCCUUAAAGGUGUCAUACUCAUCAAUUGGCUUUGAAUUGGGAUCCUCAUUCCUCGGCAAGACCACAUCUCUCCAGGCAUCUGUUACCACAAGGGUUGUGCCAAAGGCAAAGUCCGCGGCUCAGAUACUACCUGAGGCGUCUUACAAAGUGUCAGUUCUUGAUGCUGCGGGAGGCAUCAAACAACCAUUGGGCCUAUUAAUUAAGAUGUCUCGAGACGCGACGGUGGUCUAUGGCACCAUCACCGUCUUCCUCAGCAGAAGCAGUGCGGGCUGCAGAGAUGGCCGGCUUCAUCCUACUCUCACGUUGCUAUUCGUCCGCCCGACGAAGAAGAGAUGCAUCAACAGGAGAAGCAACAUGCACGUACACACACUCUUCUCUUCUUUCUGA